AUACUGGAAGUAUCUACCCUGUACAGCUGCCUUCCAAGCAGAAAGUCCUUUUGGCCAGUAUA
rnacentral:tRNA from 1 species